rnacentral:rRNA from 1 species
GAUGAACGCUGGCGGCGUGCCUAAUACAUGCAAGUCGAGCGACGCGGGGACAGGUGAGUAACACGUGGAUAACCUCCUAUAUGACGGGGAUAACUUCGGGAAACCGGAGCUAAACCGGAUACUUAUAUCUGGAUGCACGAUGAAUUAGCGAGUUGGUAAGGUAACGGCGUACAAAGGCAACGAUGCAUGGCCGACCUGAGAGGGGGAUCGGCCACACUGGAACUGAGACACGGUCCAGACUCCUACGGGAGGCAGCAGUAGGGAAUCUUCCGCAAUGGGCGAAAGCCUGACGGAGCAACGCCGCGUGAGUGAUGAAGGUCUUCGGAUCGUAAAACGCUGUUAUUAGGGAAGCGGUACCUAAUCAGAAAGCCACGGCUAACUACGUGCCAGCAGCCGCGGUAAUUC